rnacentral:misc_RNA from 1 species
UAUCUGACUGAGCAUCAA